ACCUGGUGGUGUAGAAGUCAUGCAGCACUAUAAAGACACUGGAAAUCUCUCAACCUCCAAAAGAAAGGAGAUGAUUAAUAUAUUGGUUGCACACAUGACUGAACAAGAAGGAAGGAUACCGCUUAAGGCCACAAGAGAGAUGUAUGCCCUUGGCAUUAUUACUCUCUUUCCAAACCUAAAAGAUCCUGAAGGAAAGACAGGCUAGGAACAAUACUAUGACGCACAGAGAGGCACAGGUUUUAUUAUGAAUCGCCUAAAGACGGUUCAGAGAAACACUAAUUGUAAAAUGCCCUCUCAAUCAAAUGAGAAAUCUUGUGGCCCUAGAAUGGAGGAAAUGAUCUGCCUUACAGAUCAGCUAACAGGUGAUGAUUGCCAAGAAGCAAUCUCACUGCUUAAACACAGCACUGAUCGUGAUAUCAUCUUCUGGAAGAUGAAAGAAACUUUUCAGUACCGUCAGGAGAUUGUAAAGGACCCAAAGUCGUCCACCUCCAUCUUUCACAUUUUUCCUCGA